rnacentral:rRNA from 1 species
CAGUAGCCGCGGUAAUACGUAGGUGGCAAGCGUUGUCCGGGAUUAUUGGGCGUAAAGGGCUCGCAGGCGGUUUCUUAAGUCUGAUGUGAAAGCCCCCGGCUCAACCGGGGAGGGCCAUUGGAAACUGGGAAACUUGAGUGCAGAAGAGGAGAGUGGAAUUCCACGUGUAGCGGUGAAAUGCGUAGAGAUGUGGAGGAACACCAGUGGCGAAGGCGACUCUCUGGUCUGUAACUGACGCUGAGGAGCGAAAGCGUGGGGAGCGAACAGGAUAGAUACCCGGGUAGUCCCUGUCUCUUAUACA